UGUAGCUCAGUGGUAGAGCAUUUGCUUAGCAUGUAGGAGGCCCUGGGGUUCGAUCCCCAGCA
rnacentral:tRNA from 1 species